rnacentral:rRNA from 1 species
GAUGAACGCUGACAGAAUGCUUAACACAUGCAAGUCAACUGCGGCGGACGGGUGAGUAACGCGUAAAGAACUUGCCUCACAGAUAGGGACAACAUUUGGAAACGAAUGCUAAUACCGGAUACUGUGAGAGAGCUUUGCGUCCCAUUAGCUAGUUGGAGAGGUAACGGCUCACCAAGGCGAUGAUGGGUAGCCGGCCUGAGAGGGUGAUCGGCCACAAGGGGACUGAGACACGGCCCUUACUCCGACGGGAGGCAGCAGUGGGGAGUAUUGGAGAAUGGACCAAAGUCUGAUCCAGCGAUUCUGUGUGCGCGAUGAAGUUUUCGGAAUGUAAAGUGCUUUCAGUUGGGAAGCGGUACCAACAGAAGAAGUGACGGCUAAAUACGUGCCAGCAGCCGCGGUAAUAC